rnacentral:rRNA from 3 species
GCCUUGUACACACCGCCCGUCACACCAUGGGAGUGGGUUGCACCAGAAGUAGAUAGCUUAACCUUCGGGAGGGCGUUUACCACGGUGUGAUUCAUGACUGGGGUGAAGUCGUAACAAGGUAACCCUAGGGGAACCUGGGGUUGGAUCACCUCCUUACCUUAA